rnacentral:rRNA from 1 species
AGAGUUUGAUCCUGGCUCAGGAUGAACGCUAGCGACAGGCCUAACACAUGCAAGUCGAACGGUAACAUAGAUUGCUUGCAAUCUGAUGGCGACCGGCGCACGGGUGCGUAACGCGUAUGCAACCUACCUUUAACUGAGGGAUAGCCCGAAGAAAUUCGGAUUAAUACUCCAUAAUAUAAGUCUUUCGCAUGUUAGACUUAUUAAAGCUUCGGCGGUUAAAGAUGGGCAUGCGUGACAUUAGUUAGUUGGUGAGGUAACGGCUCACCAAGACAGCGAUGUCUAGGGGGUCUGAGAGGAUUUUCCCCCACACUGGUACUGAGACACGGACCAGACUCCUACGGGAGGCAGCAGUGAGGAAUAUUGGUCAAUGGACGAAAGUCUGAACCAGCCAUGCCGCGUGCAGGAAGAAUGCCCUACGGGUUGUAAACUGCUUUUAUAUAGGAAGAAACCCCUUUACGUGUAAAGGGCUGACGGUACUAUACGAAUAAGCACCGGCUAACUCCGUGCCAGCAGCCGCGGUAAUACGGAGGGUGCAAGCGUUAUCCGGAUUUAUUGGGUUUAAAGGGUCCGCAGGCGGGAAAUUAAGUCAGUGGUGAAAGCCUACAGCUCAACUGUAGAACUGCCAUUGAAACUGAUUUUCUUGAGUAUAGUUGAAGUGGGCGGAAUGUGUCAUGUAGCGGUGAAAUGCAUAGAUAUGACACAGAACACCGAUAGCGAAGGCAGCUCACUAAACUAUUACUGACGCUCAUGGACGAAAGCGUGGGGAGCGAACAGGAUUAGAUACCCUGGUAGUCCACGCCGUAAACGAUGAUUACUCGUUAUUGGCGAUAUAAUGUCAGUGACUAAGCGAAAGUGAUAAGUAAUCCACCUGGGGAGUACGAUCGCAAGAUUGAAACUCAAAGGAAUUGACGGGGGCCCGCACAAGCGGUGGAGCAUGUGGUUUAAUUCGAUGAUACGCGAGGAACCUUACCUGGACUUAAAUGUAGAUUGACCGGUUUAGAAAUAGACUUUUCUUCGGGACAAUUUACAAGGUGCUGCAUGGUUGUCGUCAGCUCGUGCCGUGAGGUGUCGGGUUAAGUCCCAUAACGAGCGCAACCCUUGUCGCUAGUUACCAGCGAGUAAUGUCGGGGAAUCUAGUGAAACUGCCAGCGUAAGCUGUGAGGAAGGUGGGGAUGACGUCAAAUCAGCACGGCCCUUACGUCUAGGGCUACACACGUGCUACAAUGGCCGGUACAGAGGGCAGCUACCACGUGAGUGGAUGCGAAUCUCCAAAGCCGGUCUCAGUUCGGAUCGAAGUCUGCAACUCGACUUCGUGAAGUUGGAUUCGCUAGUAAUCGUAUAUCAGCAAUGAUACGGUGAAUACGUUCCCGGGCCUUGUACACACCGCCCGU